UAAACUAGGAUNAGAUACCCUUCUAUUCNNUNUUACAAGAUAUUAACAACUUUAAGUUAACAAAACUGGCGGUUCUUCUACUUAUUAGAGAAGUUUGUUUCAUUAUGGAUACAACGCCCUUAGAUUUACUAUGAUUAAAAGCUUUUAUACCGCUGUUGUCAAGAUAUUUAAGAUUAGAUAUCUGACCUGUUUAAAAACAAUACUUCAAGUCCAGGUGAAGCUUGAUAUAUUAUAGAGAAAAUGAACUUCAAUAGAUAUUUCUAUUACGGAAUGAAUAUUUAAAAUUUCAAGAAGGUGAAUUUAAAAGUAAAUUUUUAUAAAAACAUGAAUAUUUUUCAGAAGAAUGUACAUAUCGCCCGUC
rnacentral:rRNA from 1 species